rnacentral:lncRNA from 1 species
GCACCCAGGGGCCCCUGGCGUUCCCGAGGCCGAGCCCGGCCCAAAGCCACCGCCGCUUUCCAAAGCCAACCCGGGCCAAUGGCGAUCCUCGCAGGGGGAAGGCCGCGCGCGGCCCGCGGAGGUCUUUCUCCGCCUGGAAGCGCCGUCCCAGCCCCGGCGGGGAGGGUGCAGGCCUGCUCCACUCCACUUUAGAAGCCGCGCGCAACUCCACCGCGGCCUGGGGCGUCUCCAACCUGCACCGCUUUUGGCGAGUUUCCCAGUACGCGGUGCCAGGCAAACCCUCUGACCCGAGAACGCUGGUGAAAAUGCAUAUUCCUCUGCAGUUACCAAUACUAACUGGUCUCAUUUCUACUCAACGCGCGUCCUGUGAUUAAGGCUGAGGCAGUGGGUGUCUGGGGAGGAAGUCAGAGCUGGCACCCACAGGACAACCACACGUGCGCACGACACCCCGGUGAGGCCGCACAUCCAGACCAUGACCACAGACAAUGUUAUAAAGCAGCAACAAUCACAGUCGUGUUACUGGCGCACACCCAGAAAUCUAGGUCAGAGGGAAACAAUAAGGAACUCAAUGGCACCAAAUAAUUCAAUAAAAUCAGUUAUAAAACCAUACAUCAACAGAUCUAACAAAAUACUGAAUUAGUGGCAAUGGAUACUGAAAAAACUGCCAAACUACACUUCUGUAUCAAACCUGGCCUAUACUUUCCAUAUCCAGCUUUUGACGCUUUUGAAAGAUACGAAGAGCAUUCUGUUACAAGCAAAUAAAGGAGAGCUUCAAUCUUCUUACCAGAAGAACACCCCAAGAAGGAUUCCUUCUAAUCAGCCUAAGACCCAAAAGCUAUUAGCUAAAAAGAAAGGGAAAAGGAAAGAAAUUAAAGACUGUGAACUAACUUGUUUGCUAUGUUGCAUUAGUUUGGGAAGAAAUACAUUUUUAAUGUGCAUGUAAUAUGUGCCAGGCACUCUUAAGCCUCACAGUAACCUAAUGAUUUUGUAUAGUUUAAUUCCAUUUCACAAGUAAGAAAACUGACUGGAGGGAGAGGGGGAAGUAUUCUGUCCAAGUUCACACAGCCAGGAGGUAGGAAGGUAGGAAAGUCUUGAACUUUGUAAAAUGGCAGAAAAUUUCCAAUUUAAGUGAAAGGUGGAUAAUAUGAGUAAGAUCAGAAGAUGAAAUAAGUAACAUUAACUGUUGGGAAAACAUGUCUUAGGAGAAAAUAAUUCAGGGAACUAGAGC